rnacentral:rRNA from 1 species
CAUGCAAGUCGAGCGGGGAAGGGUAGCUUGCUACCUAACCUAGCGGCGGACGGGUGAGUAAUGCUUAGGAAUCUGCCAUUUAGUGGGGGACAACAUUCCGAAAGGAAUGCUAAUACCGCAUACGUCCUACGGGAGAAAGCAGGGGAUCUUCGGACCUUGCGCUAAAUGAUGAGCCUAAGUCGGAUUAGCUAGUUGGUGGGGUAAAGGCCUACCAAGGCGACGAUCUGUAGCGGGUCUGAGAGGAUGAUCCGCCACACUGGGACUGAGACACGGCCCAGACUCCUACGGGAGGCAGCAGUGGGGAAUAUUGGACAAUGGGCGAAAGCCUGAUCCAGCCAUGCCGCGUGUGUGAAGAAGGCCUUUUGGUUGUAAAGCACUUUAAGCGAGGAGGAGGCUACCUAGAUUAAUACUCUAGGAUAGUGGACGUUACUCGCAGAAUAAGCACCGGCUAACUCUGUGCCAGCAGCC